ensembl:lncRNA
CAUCAUUACAAUAAUAUUGAUACCUGCUGUAAUCACUGGCAUUCUGGCUUUUCAAUUUCCAGUAUUUGCCUUGGAUCAAGUAGCUCAGUGCUAAUUCAACAGAAGGUCACCCGAUGAAGGGGCUGAUAGCAAAGAGGACAGCUCUACUUAGCAUGCACAGAGGAUUAUGCUUUCCUGGCUUGUAGAGCUAAUCUUUCAAGUUGUCCUUUUUUGACUUUCUCAGUUUAAUCAGUUUAAUCUCAUCUUCUCUCUUUUCUGAUUGCAAGGAUUUUCUGCAGAAACCUUGCCUCCACAAUAAAGACCAUGUGGCAAUUUAUUCUCAUAUUGAUUUCAACAUUUCUGUUCCUCUACCAAUGAGCCAGGAAUCAGGGGAGGGAGAGGAAGGGUUAUGAGGAGGUUGGAGGAAGAAGAGCCAGGAGAAGGAUGGGAGAGGAAUAGAAGCUGAAAGCCCUGGAUCCUUUCAUUAGUCAGAAAGCCACAUACUCCAGUUAUGUGGGAAAACUAAGUACAUCUUAAAUGCACUGGAAGCAGAAAUGACAGCCAAAUGGGAACGUCUCUAUAAUGAUUAAAGUUAAAGACAGCUAUACCAAGGGAUUCUUUCCAUUUCCACACUAAAGAAAUAGAAAGACACACCAGACAGACAGACAAUACACACACACACACACACACACACACACCUUCUGCAAUCAGAGACAUUACACGUGUCUGAGAAUCACACAGUGACAAUCUCCCUCACAGACUGAGUGGAUUUUGCUUUUAUUCUUCCUCUGUCCACACUAAAGGGUGGACAGUAUCUUCCUAAAAGCAGACAAAAAGCCAUCUGCCAAGACACAGGAAAGACAAAAAUGGGAUUGGAUGGUGAUGUCCCCAGCCUUCUCCUCAUGGUUCAUUCCCACUUUUUCUUCAAGGCUCGGUUUAACAGUCAUUCACCCAUGAGGCAUUGGAGAAGACUCUUGAGAGUCCCUUGGACUGCAAGGAGAUCCAACCAGUCCAUUCUGAACGAGAUCAGCCCUGGGAUUUCUUUGGAAGGAAUGAUGCUAAAGCUGAAACUCUAGUACCUUGGCCACCUCAUGCGAAGAGUUGACUCAUUGGAAAAGACUCUGAUGCUGGGAGGGAUUGGGGGCAGGAGGAGAAGGAGAUGACAGAGGAUGAGAUGGCUGGAUGGCAUCACCGAUUCGACGGACGUGAGUCUGAGUGAACUCUGGGAGUUGGUGAUGGACAAGGAGGCCCGGCGUGCUGCGAUUCAUGGGGUUGCAAGGAGUCAGACACGACUGAGCGACUGAACUGAACUGAACUGAACCCAUGAGGCUGUCCCUGGUCUUUCUUAGCUAAGUUAGGUGUUCCUCUUCCAUCCUCCCUUAGUUCCCUGUGUAUCCUUCUGUUACAGACUUGACCGUAUUGCAUUACAACCACAAGCUACUCCUGUGGCUUCCUUGUUAGACUUUAAUCACAUUCUGUUUUUGCUGAAAAAGAGUGAAAAUCAAAUUUUCAUUUUAAACUAUUGAUUUACCCUACUUAUGAAAAGAAAUUAAUCUUGUUUCUUGGUGUAUUAGAAGAGAUGCAAAAUAAUGUUGGAGAGAGGAGGGAUAAAUUAGGAGUUUGAGAUUAACAAAUGCAUACUACUAUGUACAAAAUAAAAUAGAAAAACAACAAGGACCUACA